UGCAGUCGACGAGCUUCCGUUGAUGACGUGCUUGCACUGAUUUCAACAAUGAAGCGAGUGGCGAACUGGUGAGUAACACGUGGGGAAUCUGCCCAGAAGCAGGGGAUAACACUUGGAAACAGGUGCUAAUACCGUAUAACAACAAAAUCCGCAUGGAUUUUGUUUGAAAGGUGGCUUCGGCUAUCACUUCUGGAUGAUCCCGCGGCGUAUUAGUUAGUUGGUGAGGUAAAGGCCCACCAAGACGAUGAUACGUAGCCGACCUGAGAGGGUAAUCGGCCACAUUGGGACUGAGACACGGCCCAAACUCCUACGGGAGGCAGCAGUAGGGAAUCUUCCACAAUGGACGAAAGUCUGAUGGAGCAAUGCCGCGUGAGUGAAGAAGGGUUUCGGCUCGUAAAACUCUGUUGUUAAAGAAGAACACCUUUGAGAGUAACUGUUCAAGGGUUGACGGUAUUUAACCAGAAAGCCACGGCUAACUACGUGCCAGCAGCCGCGGUAAUACGUAGGUGGCAAGCGUUGUCCGGAUUUAUUGGGCGUAAAGCGAGCGCAGGCGGUUUUUUAAGUCUGAUGUGAAAGCCUUCGGCUUAACCGGAGAAGUGCAUCGGAAACUGAGAGACUUGAGUGCAGAAGAGGACAGUGGAACUCCAUGUGUAGCGGUGGAAUGCGUAGAUAUAUGGAAGAACACCAGUGGCGAAAGGCGGCUGUCUAGUCUGUAACUGACGCUGAGGCUCGAAAGCAUGGUAGCGAACAGGAUUAGAUACCCUGGUAGUCCAUGCCGUAACGAUGAGUGCUAGUGUUGAGGGUUUCCGCCCUUCAGUGCUGCAGCUAACGCAUUAGCACUC
rnacentral:rRNA from 2 species